rnacentral:miRNA from 1 species
UAGGCAUUACUAGGACCUCCGGC